GACGAACGCUGGCGGCGUGCUUAACACAUGCAAGUCGAACGGAAAGGCCCUGCUUUUGUGGGGUGCUCGAGUGGCGAACGGGUGAGUAACACGUGAGUAACCUGCCCUUGACUUUGGGAUAACUUCAGGAAACUGGGGCUAAUACCGGAUAGGAGCUCCUGCUGCAUGGUGGGGGUUGGAAAGUUUCGGCGGUUGGGGCUGGACUCGCGGCUUAUCAGCUUGUUGGUGGGGUAGUGGCUUACCAAGGCUGUGACGGGUAGCCGGCCUGAGAGGGUGACCGGCCACAUUGGGACUGAGAUACGGACCAGACUCCUACGGGAGGCAGCAGUGGGGAAUAUUGCACAAUGGGCGGAAGCCUGAUGCAGCAACGCCGCGUGCGGGAUGACGGCCUUCGGGUUGUAAACCGCUUUCGCCUGUGACGAAGCGUGAGUGACGGUAAUGGGUAAAGAAGCACCGGCUAACUACGUG
rnacentral:rRNA from 1 species